UAAUUCAGACUAUUUCAAUGUCAGUUUUGAGAGGACAAUUUUUAUUGUGGUGACUAUGUAAAAUAAUAAGUCACGAAGACAAAUUAUAUAAUACUUAUGGGAAUGCAAAUGUUAUAAUAACUAAAUACAUUGUUCAUGUGAACGUGACUCUUGUCGGAAAUACCAUUGGCAUAUAGUGUUUUUCAGCCCACUAUGCUAUGUAGUACUACUGACUAUGCAUCUUGUCAAUAUUUGCGUUUUCAUUUUCGUAUUUCUACAUGACGCCGCCAUUACAGCGAAAAGAUUCAUGCGUGACAUACGUGCGCAGUGUGGUUAUUAUUAGAUUUUUCACGAACUAAUUGGAUCAAUAUUGCAUCAGAUGUUCUGUGGAUUUAGGGUUGUGGCCGAGAAAAAUGAAGCUGAGGGUCAUAAUUUCUGAUUUACUGGAGGACCCUCAAUACUUGAUCGGUAAUAAAUAGUUGGUACUUGGAUGGACCAUUUAGCUUUAUUCGAAGUGAGUGGUAGUGGACUAAAACCUGCGACUCACAAGGCAGAACAAAACGCUGACCCUCAUAUACACAUUCAUUAAAUAGGCAACAUGUAAUUGAUCAGGUAACAAUUCAAAUAUUGUAUCAUUAAGUUAAGAGAAAAUAUAUCAAGAUAAUG